GUCCAGACUCCUACGGGAGGCAGCAGUGAGGAAUAUUGGUCAAUGGGCGGAAGCCUGAACCAGCCAAGUCGCGUGAGGGAUUAAGGCCCUAUGGGUCGUAAACCUCUUUUGUCAGGGAGCAAUGGCGUCCACGUGUGGGCGUAUGGAGAGUACCUGAAGAAAAAGCAUCGGCUAACUCCGUGCCAGCAGCCGCGGUAAUACGGAGGAUGCGAGCGUUAUCCGGAUUUAUUGGGUUUAAAGGGUGCGUAGGCGGGCUUUUAAGUCAGCGGUAAAAAUUCGGGGCUCAACCCCGUCCGGCCGUUGAAACUGGGGGCCUUGAGUGGGCGAGAAGAAGGCGGAAUGCGUGGUGUAGCGGUGAAAUGCAUAGAUAUCACGCAGAACUCCGAUUGCGAAGGCAGCGUACCGGCGCCCAACUGACGCUGAAGCACGAAGGCGUGGGUAUCGAACAGGAUUAGAUACCCGUGUA
rnacentral:rRNA from 1 species